AUAUUAACUAUGCUGCGAUCAGCAAGUGACCCAGCUGGUAUGUAAAAUAGAGCACUGUACACAACAUGGUUAUUAUUUACAUAUAAUAGUCUAUUUGGAAUGUGUUUUGAAUGUAUAAAAUACCUGUUGCAAUUUGGCACCACUGCUCUUAUACGUUAUUGUGCAGACGGCACUGCUGCUGUUAAUGUUACAGCUAAUAUUAUUAAUGUGUAAUAUAUUGUAUAAUUAAGUUCAGGGACAGAGUCCUGCUGGGGCAGCUAGGGGACAGGGAACAGGGGGAGAGGCAACAGGACGUCAGGGACAUAGUGAGGCACCCUCAUGUUCCACCCCAAUUCAGCGAAACAUGGCCAGGUUUGGAAAUACAUUUCCAAGGAUGUGUUAUAUCUCUGUAUUUUGGCAAAUUCUCUAAGAGUGGAGAAUAUAUGUGAAGCUCUUAAUUAACUUUGAAGUUGUCCAUUCUUUUUAAAAAGAUGUUUUCCAGGUCUUUUUAAAGACAAAAAGGGAAAGGCGGUAAAGAGGGCAGGAAUAAAGAGAACACCGGUGGCUUUUUUCCUUUUACACAAACCCACAGAAAAAACACCAAAACAUUCUGAGGAGCUAACCCUUCUUCAAGCUGGGUUAGGAAAGAAGACAGUUCAAAUUCCUGAGGAUGCAAAUCACAAGGAGAUCUUAGACAUUCUUUGUGAGACAUAUCCAAAAAUAAAGGAUCUAGAAGGGGGCUGGUUAAUCCAUAAAGCUAUGGGAGGAUCGGGCCAAAGAAAGCUCAAUGUGAUCACCCCAGAAGAGAUGGGGUAUACAGGGAGCAGUCUUGUAAAGACCUGGGGAGGCCGUGGGUGUCUGUAUAUAAUGCCUAUAGAACAGGUGCUGGACACAACUCCCCUCCCUUUUACGGCAAAGGAGUUCCAGGCUAUGCCUAGAGCGCGAUGUUCUUCGUGUCAUGAACAGCUUCUCUCUGUUCAUGUACAGACCUGCUUCAGUACACCAGACAUCAAUGAGGUAUAUGAUAUAAAUAAAAUGUUUGAUGUGUGAAUGUACAUAUGUGUACACUUUAUUACUGAUUUGUCUUUUAGAGUGACCGUGAAGUAAUUGUCUUGAAAGAUGAUACAACUGUGAGUUUUUAAUCAAAUCUAAAGUCAUUGUAUCUCCCAUACCUUAUUUCUAUUAUUGAUCAUCUGUAAUUAUAUAGGUGACCAUUAAUCCUGAGGACUCUGCUGUCAGUGUAAAUAUAUAGCAGUGCUGUACUUAGCUAAAGUAUAUUUUUUCUUUUCAUAUGUUACACAUGUGUCAUCAUUUUUCCUGUAGGCACCCAGUUCUCCAGUGGGAUUUGACAAAAAUGUAAGAUGACAGAGCUGUAAAUAACCAAAAGGGUACAACAGGAAACAUGGAACAUGCAAAGAAGCAAUAUACAAAAAGUUUUAAGCAACUUUGAUGCUAGUCAGUAUAGAGUUCCUAUGAUUGCUUGUUCACUAGUUAUUUUGAAAUUAUGUCUAUAAUAGGUUUCCUGUCCAUUGUGUGACAAUGAUUCACACAGGAGUUUAUCCAAAUACAUGCCAGCAUGUGUGGUGAAAAGGAAAGGCACAGCACCAUACUAGGUGCAGAUGACACCUCAAAGCACUUGAGCAGCUUAUCAGACAUCCUGAGGUUUCUACAAGAAAGAAUUGACACCACUAAAACCUUUAACAUUAAUGUGACAAGGGAGGACCUCUACCAGAGAGGUCUGAAACAGUGGGCCAGACAGAAACAGGCCUCCCCCAAGAACCAACUGCUUUAUUAUCUGCUUUAGUUGGAGAACAAGGCAUUGAUGAUGGAGCACUACGUAGAGAGUUUCUUACCGUGCCACCAGACUGCAUUCAGGGAUUAGGCUCAUACCGAUGCUAACUCAGCUUAGAGAAGGACUGGCCAUCAAUGGUUUAGAUGAGCUGCUGCCACAUCACCACCAGGUUUUCCAGCCGCUCUUCCUUCCCAGGAUCCUAAGAGAACACUUUGUUUCAGCUGCAGUUGUGGAAGUGGUAAAAGUAGUAACCUCAGGCUGUGUACUGAUAUCACAGCACUGACGUAUUUGAUUGUUCAGUGAAAAGGGAUCAGUAAGACACCGAAAGGAAGUAAACAUUAUCAACUUUUUGCAGGACUUCUUGCAAAACCUGGAAGGCCAAGGAACAGAGAAUCAAGAUGGGAGCCCAUCUAAUGGUUGUGGAGCAAAGCAGUUGUCAGUGCAAGGUUUCUUCCAGUGGGUUUCAGGCCAGGCACAUGUGCCACUAACAGACGCUGAACGAGAUUCAUAUCGGAUAACUGUGAACUUUGAUCACAACUACUUCCCGGUAUGGGUCACUUUGUGCUACCCUAUUGUCAAUGUAUGUGCUGUGGCAAUCACCUUUCCUACACAUCACUUGACAACAUAUGAUGAUUUUGAAAAUAUUCUUACACAGGCAGUCUGUGGUGGAUUUGAUUUUAGCAGACACUAAGUGCUAACAGGACCAAAACUUUGGACUGUUCCUAGUUUUGGAUUAUUUUCAAAAGUUUUAAAUCUCACUUUAGUUUUAAAAAGACAGUUUGUCUUGUGAGAUUUGUAAUGUUUUGGGGCUGGGCAGCCAAAUUUGUAUAUGAAACAAAAAAUUCUAGUUCAUUGCAAUGUGUAAAACAGGUAUGUAUAUGUGUGUUUCAUAAUAAUAACAAUAA